GGUGGGGGUGGGGGUGGGGAAUGAGCCAGAAUCCACCUUCCCACUGCCACCCAGCCCUGCAGGUGCCCGGGCCACCUACAGCUUAUCUCGGCCUUGAGGGCAGAAACCCACACACGCUCAUUCAGGAAAGGCCUGCCAAAAUUUUUUUUUUUUUUUUUUUUUUUUUUGGCUAUUUCUUUGGGCCGCUCCCGUGGCACAUGGAGGUUCCCAGGCUAGGGAUCAAACCCACACCACAGCAGCCACCCGAGCCUCAUCAGUGAAAACACUGAAUCCUUAACCCACUGAGCCAUACGGGAACUCCUAGGCUACUUUUUACAAAGUCUGAGUUAAGUGAAGCAUCACUUCAUCUUCGCUGGAACACACCGAGGUGUGUUUUCCAUUUUACAUAUGAAUUGGCGAGACACUGAGAGGCAAGGUCCCCUAUAAAGGAGCAGCAGCGCCCAGGCUUGAACCCUGACCUGCCCACAUCUCUAAAAAACACUGUGGAGCCCUGUUAGGGGGUAGUAAUGCUGGCAGCAGUGAAGACCACGGAGCAGAGAACGCAGGAAGAGGGCAGAGAGGACCAAGGGGAAGGAAGAGGCCCUUUGGGACACAAAGCACAAAGUAUCCCUCCAUGUUCCUGGUCUGAAAACGCCCUGUCACUAGCCAGGCCAGCCCAGGGCCCGCUCGGGAUCUGCUGAAGCCCCCGAGGCCAUGGCCGCCAGCACAAUGAACAAGAGAACUAAGGGGGAAACUCUAAUUUGACACAAAAAUGGUGCACAAUGAAAAUGCCUGGCUGGUUGCUGGCCCCC
rnacentral:lncRNA from 1 species